CGUCCCUCUCCCUCUCCCUCACGUCCUAUUCUUUUCCUCUGUCAGAAACAGCAGUGACUUCUCCUUUUUUUUUCCCGUGACUUCCUGCUGGUGCUGCCCUACCCCAUGGUUGCCUCCCCUGUUGAUCUGCUGCUGCCGAGAGACUAGAGGAGGGAGAGAAGAAGAGACAAAGAAAGAGGAAGGAAGGAGAGGAAGGGGCUGCACAAACCCAAGGCUUUUGGAGGAUCAAGAUGGUAUUGCUCCAGAUCGUGCCUAGUGCCGUUUGCAUCAUCGCUUUGAGGCAAGUAAACGUAGCAGUGGAGUUUCAAAGAGAGGCAAAAAGUUGACUUUUUGAAUGGUUGCUCGGAUGGAUGAUCAGAGACCAUAGACGCGUAUAUCUCAUCAAGGGGAUUCCAUUUAUUUUCUCAUAUGUGAUAUUCGGAGUUAAGAUCAUAGUAUUAUAGUAGAUCAAAAUUUGGAUGGAUAAGAUGGCUCAAAGAAUAAAGAGAGAAAACCCAAUCUACCAUGACUUCACCUCUCCCAUGUCGGCCCUCUCCCUCUCCCUCACGUCAUAUUCUUUUCCUCCGUAAAAAACAGCAGCGACUUCUCUUUUUUUUCCCCAUGACUUCCUGCUGGUGCUGCCCUACCUGUGGUUGCCUCCCCUAUCGAUCUGCUGCUGCCGAGAUACUAGAGGAGGGAGAUAAGAAGCGACAAAGAAAGAGAAGGGGAGGAGAGGAAGGGGUUGCACAAACCCUAGGCUUUUGGAGGAUCAAGGUGAGAUGGUUUUGAUCUAAUCCCCUAUUUUUGGAUGACAUUUAGGGCCUGUAAUUAGCCUUUUUUAUUGGUUUAAUGGGGGAUUAGAGAUGGAUCUCGUGAUCAUUAAUAAAUUCAAAAACCUAACUGAGGUAAUAGUCCUUAACUAAAGGUUAAGUUAUUUCUUAAAUUACUUUAGUACUUGUUCGAUAAUAAUACUUGUGGUUGUUUAUUCCAUCAUGAGGUACGAGGUAGGUUUAUGUAUAAUACUUGUGAUUGUUUAUUCCAUCAUGUGGUAAGAGGUAUGUUUAUGUAUGUGGUUGUACAUGACAUAAGUGGUAAGCUUACUUGCAGAUGCACCGUAUCAUUGCAUCAUAUUGCAUUGCACAUCAUUCGUGGAUGCCGCCACUUGCUAGCCGCGACCAUACCGGUACAGCAUCGUAUGCUGCCCGAGGAGGGGUACGAUGCACCUUCAUACCUUGUUGGGUAUGGAGGAAGUGGACAUGGCAUAUGCAUUGCACUUGCACGCAUUGUGAUUUAUAUGUUUGAGUAUUUUUUAUCAGCAUGGAAGUGGAUAUGAGGUCUUGAUCAUCUAAAGUAAAUAAAUAGUUGUGGUUUAUUCUUUUCUUUUAUAUUAGGAUGACUUUCAUAUGAUUUGGUUUUAUCUUAUUUGUUUCAUGUAUUUAUGUUUAAAUCGAUGCCUAGUGAACUCGUAGUUUAAAUAACUUGUUAAACUAGUUAUCUUUCUAGGUGCUUGAGUGGAUGCUUUGGUUGAGGGAUGGGAUAGCUGCACAUCAUCACACCUUUGUUCACAUGUUCUCUUUACAACAACAAUGCUACCUUUGUCUUAAUAGGCAAACUCGUUGUAGGCAUUGUGGUAACUCGUUGUAGUUUCUUAAUAACGAGUGUGGUUGACCUCUGUUAACUGUUAUUUUGUUAAGUUGCUCAUCAAAUGCUAGCAUGUGGUUUAUCUUUAAAUAUCAUUUAUGUUAUUGCUUCCGUGUUUUACUUUGUUUAUGGAGUUAUGCUGCCGAGUUUUUGUACUCCAGCAUGUGGGAAGGAUGUUUAAUGAAAUCUUGGGCCUUUGUGGCGCCUGGGGUGUUACAGUUGGUAAUCAGAGCUUUUGGUUAUAGAUUAUUGGAUUAGUUUUUUCUCAAAAUUUGACUUAAUAAAACCUAACACACAUGCACAUGUAGGAAGGGUAAUUGCUUGCAUACCUUUUUAUUUAAGGUCUCGAUUUAUUUUAAUUCCAUGUUAAAUUGUUUAUUGGUGCUUUUGAUUUGUAUAGUGUAUUGCUUGAUACUUACUCACCAGUUGCUAGAUUGACCAAAGCGGUAGUACACACAUUUGUCAGCUCCAUUCACAAGAAGUAUCAUCAGGGAUUGGGUGAGUAAGUAUCAAAGAAAUCUUCAACUUCUUUUUGGGUGUAACCCUUGACCACAAGCCUUGCCUUGUACUUUUCAAUAGUACAAUUAGGCCUAAGCUUCUUCUUGAAUACCCACUUGCAUCCUAUAGGUUUGCACCCGUAUGGAUGAUCAACGACCUCCCAAGUCCCAUUAGACAUUAUGGAAUCCAUCUCACUUCUGAUUGCUUCCUUCCAAUAGUUAGCAUCAAGAGAUCCAUAAACCUCAACAAUUAUUUUUGGAGUGUCAUCUACAAGGUACACAAUGAAGUCAUCACCAAAAGACUUCUCAAUCCUUCAUCUCUUACUCUUUAGAGUCCCAUCAUUGUCAACCUUCUCAUGAUUUUCCUCAUGUGGUUUUUCAAAGUGUACUACUGUAUCAUUAUGUUCAGGGGAAUUAACAAAUUCAUGACUAGAACUGCUAGAUGUUUCUUUCAUAGGAAAAAUACUCUCAAAGAAUGUGACAACUCUGGACUCCAUGAUUGUACCAACAUGCAUGUCCGGUACUCCAGAUUUUAUUAUCAAGAAUCUAUAUCUGACACUGUGAAAAGCAUAGCCUAAAAAAACACAAUCAACUAUUUUCGGUCCGAACUUGCAUUUCUUAGCAAUUGGUACGUCAACCUUUGCUAAGCAUCCCAAGUACGCAAGUAUGAGAGUGCUAAUCUUUUAUUUUCCCAUUCCUCGAAUGGUGUCUUCUCUUUAUUUUUCAUAGAAACUCUGUUAAGAGUAUGAUAAACAGUCAACAUGGCUUCACCCCACCAUUCCUAAGAAAGUCCGGCUGUUUCUAACAUGGUGUUAACCAUCUCAAUUAGAGUGUGGUUUUUCCUUUCAGCCAGUCUAUUUGACUCAGGGGAAUAAGGUGGUGUUCUCUCAUGUAUGAUGCCAUGUUCCUCACAAAACAAAUUGAACUCAUGUUGACGGUAGUUAAGUAUAAGAUAUGACCAUGAAUAUACUCAAGAAUAAAGGAGGAUUGGUAUCUCUUACAUGCUUAUUUGGUUUCAAAUAAUGUAGUUCCACUUGUCCUUGGAGAUUAUUUGGUUGCAGGUGAAAUAGCACAAAAGGAUGGAGAAAGCACCCUCUAAGGAUCCAAGAAACAUGCUUCUAACCAUAGAUUGAAGGGCCCAAAAACUACCACAACCGCCUCAAUCCACCGGAUAAUGCACAUAACUGCCAUUGGGACCCACCAAGCAGUCAUCCGGAGAAAGGCGGUUGCGAGGGUGGCCCACAGGGGGUCUCCUAGUUUGGCCGAACCGCCUUUGUCCCCUCUCGUCUCCAGCUUCCAUGUGACAAUGGUUUAGGUCGGUUAAGGGAUAUUUCCCGAAGAUUCCCUUGCAGAACCGCCUCCUGGAGCCUAUAAAUAUGAGGGGAGGGGCUCCAUUCUUGGACACAUACACAACUAGUUAAUUAUUCUCUCCCUUCUAGUUUCCAAUUUAGUGGAGUUAGGCUAGAGUAGAUCUACUUCAGGUUCUAGGUCUCCUUGGAGUCUAGGGUAUGGCUCUUGUAUCAUUUAUUCCUAGGAUUACUUUAUUCUAUUCAAAGUAUACAUCUUCUUUAUAUAGUGUUGUGUUUGGUUCUCA